CUGGUUCAGGAUGAACGCUAGCUACAGGCUUAACACAUGCAAGUCGAGGGGUAGCAGGGUAGCAAUACCGCUGACGACCGGCGCACGGGUGAGUAACACGUAUCCAACCUCCCAUAACUCAGGGAUAGCCUUUCGAAAGAAAGAUUAAUACCUGAUAGUACUUUUUCAAGGCAUCUUGAGAAAGUUAAAGAUUUAUUGGUUAUGGAUGGGGAUGCGUUCCAUUAGAUAGUUGGUGAGGUAACGGCUCACCAAGUCUUCGAUGGAUAGGGGUUCUGAGAGGAAGGUCCCCCACAUUGGUACUGAGACACGGACCAAACUCCUACGGGAGGCAGCAGUGAGGAAUAUUGGUCAAUGGGCGAGAGCCUGAACCAGCCAAGUAGCGUGAAAAGGACGAAGGUCCUAUGGAUUGUAAACUUCUUUUAUAGUAGAAUAAAGUGAUCCACGUGUGGAUUUUUGUAUGUAUACUAUGAAUAAGGAUCGGCUAACUCCGUGCCAGCCGCCGC
rnacentral:rRNA from 1 species